AUGGCGGCGGAGCUGGGCGAGAUUGAGGAGCUCGUCGAGGAGAUCCUCAUCCGCCUCCCUAAGGACGAGCCUGGUAAUCUCCUCCGCUCCUCCCUCGCCUACAAGCCAUGGCGCGACCUCCUCGCCAGCCACGCCUUCCGUCGCCACCACGGCGACUUCCACCGAACACCUCCCAUGCCUAGCUUCCUCCGCGACUGGCCGGAACUCAGCAUCGAGUUCUUCCCCACCACGGAUUUCCUGGCGCGCGGUCCCGACCCCCAGCACCAAUAUGCCGUGGAAGAUUGUCGCCACGGCCGUGUCCUCCUUCGGUACUUCGAUGAGGAUGAGGAUAUGCCAUUGCUGGUCAUCUGGGACCCCAUGACGGGCAGCGAAACAGUGCUUGGCAGCCUCGAAAUGUCGGAAAAGGCAAGGUCGUUUGCCUCAGUGAUCUGUGCUGCGGACAGCUGCCGCCACGGUGACUGCCAUUCCGGUCCAUUCCGCGUCGUUUUCGUAAUCCUUCACCAGGAAGAGGAGGUCGCUACGGCGUCCGUGUACUCAUCGGAGACGGCUAGUUGGAGCUCUUCGGCGGUCACCGAUGUUGGUACGUUUGAGGAUGAAGUCUAUUUCUCCAUGCCUAGUGUCCUCGCAGGAGACGCGCUCUAUUUCCUCCUUUUCCGGGGCCAGGAUGUUGAAGGUUGCAGUAUUCUCAAGUACGACUUGGGAACCUCCUGUCUGUCGGAGAUUCAUCUGUCGGAGGAGAUGCAGGAUGCCAGCGACAAUCCUAUCCUGAUGGUGGGGGAAGACGGUAGGCUGGGAAUCGCACACCUGUUCUUUUUCUUCCUCUCCGUCUGGUCGAGGGAGGUGGAUCCCGGUGGAGUUGUGUCGUGGACACAACGGAGAGACAUCAACCUCGAGACUCUUCUUCCCACUAGUGAUUUCACAUAA
rnacentral:rRNA from 1 species